rnacentral:rRNA from 1 species
GACGUAGGGCGCGAGCGUUGUCCGGAUUUAUUGGGGCGUAAAAGAGCUCGUAGGCGGCUCGUUGCGUCGGCUGUGAAAACCCGCAGCUCAACUGUGGGCUUGCAGCCGAUACGGGCGGGCGUGGGAUUCGGUAGGGGGAGACUGGAAUUCCUGGUGUAGCGGUGAAAUGACGCAGAUAUCAGGAGGGAACACCGGUGGCGAAGGCGGGGUCUCUGGGCCGAUAUCGACGUGAGGAGCGAAAGCGUGGGGGAGCGAAUAGG